CCGCCGAGCUGGGCGGGAGCUGUUGGCGGUGGGUCUGAAGGUGAUGGCCUUGACUGAAGGCCUCGAGUCGGCGUCUCCCGCUGUUUCUGCAGUCGCUGCCCGGGACUCGGUGCGCUCAUCGUCAUGAGAGGAGACAGAGUCCUGAAGCCAAGAAAUCUGGAUCACAGAAAAAGUAUUCAGGGGUCAUGCAAGCCAACUGUAGCCAACCGCACAGCCCUUCAGGAGCUGCAGGCAGUGAGGAUGCCUCAGCCUCCCAGUGUGUCCAAACAAGAUUGACAGGAGAAGCUUCCUGUCUUUAUUCUGGAGAUGUUCAUAGUCAGAUAAACUCCAUGCCUAAAGAAUGUGCUGAAAAUCCAAGCUCCAGAAAUAUAAGGUCAGGUGUCCACAGCUGUACCCAUGGAUGUGUACACAGUCGCUUACGGAGUCACUCCCACAGUGAAGCAAGGCAACCUGAUGAGACCGAGACGGAGUCUAGAGAUCAUGGUAGUAGCUCCUUCUCAGAAUUCCGAUAUCUCUUCAAGUGGUUGCAAAAAAGUCUUCCAUAUAUUUUGAUUCUGGGUGUCAAACUUGUUAUGCAGCAUAUAACAGGAAUUUCUCUUGGAAUUGGGCUGCUUACAACUUUUAUAUAUGCAAACAAAAGCAUUGUAAAUCAGGUUUUUCUAAGAGAAAGGUGCUCAAAGAUUCAGUGUGCUUGGUUACUGGUAUUCUUAGCAGGAUCUUCUGUUCUUUUAUAUUACACCUUUCAUUCUCAGUCACUUUAUUACAGCUUAAUUUUUUUAAAUCCUACUUUGGACUAUUCGAGCUUCUGGGACGUACUUUGGAUUGUUGGAAUUACAGACUUCAUUCUGAAAUUCCUCUUCAUGGGCUUAAAAUGCCUUAUUUUAUUGAUGCCUUCUUUCAUCAUGCCUCUUAAAUCCAAGGGUUAUUGGUAUAUGGUUUUAGAAGAAUUAUGUCAGUAUUACCGAACUUUUGUCCCCGUACCAGUUUGGUUUCGUUACCUUAUAAGCUAUGGGGAGUUUGGUAAUGUAACUAGAUGGAGUCUUGGGAUACUGCUGGCUUUACUCUACCUCAUACUAAAACUUCUGAACUUUUUUGGACAUCUGAGAACUUUCAGACGGGUUUUGCAAAUAUUUUUUACACGACCAAGUUACGGAGUGGCUGCCAGCAAGAGACAGUGUUCAGGUGUGGAUGAUAUUUGUUCAGUAUGUCAAGCUGAAUUUCAAAAGCCAAUUCUUCUCAUCUGUCAGGCUCUUGUGAAAUCUGUUUUUCAGAAAACUCAAGUGUGUUUGCAGAAAAUAGAUAACCUGUGAUCUUGAAAUGCUAUGGAGUACCACAAAUUCCUAGGAGGGGGUAAGCCCUGGAAAAGGCUCUUAACAAGAAAGCAGAACCAACAGAAGGAGUCUCUAGCCCACAGGAGCCCAAAGUCCCAGGGAAGAGAGAUAAGUCAAUGGAGCUAAGCACAAGGUGCCAUGGGAACUACAUCUGACCUGGCAAGAAGUCUUCCUGGAGGUGGAGAUACCUAAGCUGUAUCAUAAAAAGUUAUUACGAUGAAAUGUAGAGGGUUUAAAAAAAAAAAAAAAAAAAGCAUUCCCAGUGCAAAAGAGGCUUGACAGGACGGGACAUGUCUUAAGGAUCUAAAAGUAGUUCAGUAUGGUUAGAAGUGGUUAGGACAUGUAUUAGGCUGGACAUAUAGGAAAUGGAAGGCCUGGGCAUCUAGGCAAAGGCAUUUGAAUCUUAUUUUAGAGGCAGAGGAGAAAUGCUGAGGUAAGAUAAAUGAAUAGCCUUUGGCUUUAAGAAAGACCGUUCUAGUUGCAGUGUGAAGUAUUAGGGAAGAAAUGACACCAGUCAGAAGGCUAGUAAACUAAGCAAGAAGUAAAACCUGUAACUAAGAAAACGAAGGUGGGGGAAAAAAGGGUAAAAGUGCAUCAUUAGCACUCGCUGACUAAUGAGAUAUGAGAAGAAAUGAUGAUACCAUGGUUUCUGUGUAAGUAAUGGUGUCAUUCAAUAACAGGGAAUGGAAACAAAGAAAAAAGUUUUGGGAAAUGAUAUAUUGCUUUGGACAUGCUAAGUCUUAAAUUCUAAGUUCUUGUACACCUCUAGUAACAUGAAAAAGCAUAUAUACGUGGCCAUUAGUUGCAAUAUUAUUUGUAAAAGUGAAACAUUAGAAACAACCUAAAUGCCCAUGCAUAGGAUACUGCAUGAAAACCCUGUGUAAAAAAGCUAUGAAAAGAAUGAGGAACAUCUCUGAAAGCAAGGUGCAAAAGAGCAUAUAUGGCACAGCAGUAACACAGUAUGCUACCUUUUGUGUAACAAUGGAAAUAAGAAUAUAUAUAAUAGGUACAUGCUUAUAUCUGCAAUAAUGAGCACACCUAAAUUAAGCCAAAAGCUAAUGAUACAGGUAAUUCCCUGGCUGUCCAGAGGUCAGGACUCGGCGCUCUCACUGCCAAGGGCCCAGGUCCGAUCCCUGGUUGGGGAACUAAGAUCCCACAUGCCAUGUGGCAUGGCCAAAAAAAUAACAUAACAUAACAUAACAUAAAACAUCCCAACAAGAAACCUAUUUAAAAAAAAAAAAAAAAAAAGCUAAUGACAGUGGAAAGGCAGGAAAGGGAAUGGGACCUCUGAGCAAAACCUGAAGGGUUUUAUUAUUCAUUUCUUUUCUUACCUAAAUCAAAUAUCAUUAUUGUGAUUAUUAAAUUCUGAACCAUGUUAAUGUUUUAUACAUUUCAAAAAUAAAAUUAAAUCUGGAUGGGGGAGGGAAAUAAAAUUGAAUACAACAGAAAUACAUA